CUUGCACACCUAUAAGAGGUCCAGCCUGCCCAGUGACUCUGUUCAACGGCCGCGGUAUCCUAACCGUGCGAAGGUAGCGUAAUCACUUGUUCUUUAAAUGAGGACUAGUAUGAAUGGCACCACGAAGGUUAUACUGUCUCCUCUCCCUAAUCAGUGAAACUGAUCUCCCCGUGAAGAAGCGGGGAUAAACAUAUAAGACGAGAAGACCCUAUGGAGCUUUAAACUAAGAAUCAACUGCCUUUCCACCUUCAAAUUCCAGAAAACUAACUUCUACCAAGACACUCUGAUUUCUAGUUUUAGGUUGGGGUGACCACGGAGCAAAAACUAACCUCCGCAAUGAACAGGGAUCUUCCCUUAACCAAGGACCACAAUCCUAAGAAUCAACACAUUGACAUUAAUUGACCCAAAAAUUUGAUCAAUGAAC
rnacentral:rRNA from 1 species